UAGGGAAUAUUGCGCAAUGGAGGAAACUCUGACGCAGCGACGCCGCGUGGGUGAUGAAGGUCUUCGGAUCGUAAAACCCUGUCGAAAGGGACGAAAAACAGAGAGGUGAAUAACCUAGCUGCUUGACUGUACCUUUAAAGGAAGCACCGGCUAACUACGUGCCAGCAGCCGCGGUAAUACGUAGGGUGCAAGCGUUGUUCGGAAUCAUUGGGCGUAAAGCGCGUGUAGGUUGCUUUGAAAGUCGGUUGUGAAAUACCUGGGCUUAACCGAGGAAGUGCAUCCGAAACUUCAAAGCUAGAGAUUGGUAGAGGAAGGUGGAAUUCCAAGUGUAGAGGUGAAAUUCGUAGAUAUUUGGAGGAAUACCGGCGGCGAAGGCGGCCUUCUGGGCCACAUCUGACACUGAGACGCGAAAGCGUGGGGAGCAAACAGGAUUAGAUACCCGCGUAGUCC
rnacentral:rRNA from 1 species